rnacentral:rRNA from 1 species
AUUGAACGCUGGCGGCAGGCUUAACACAUGCAAGUCGAGCGAGUGGCGGACGGGUGAGUAAUGUCUGGGAAACUGCCUGAUGGAGGGGGAUAACUACUGGAAACGGUAGCUACUACCGCAUACCAACAAAUGUGCCUAGUUUGGAUUAGCUAGUAGGUGGGGUAAUGGCUCACCUAGGCGACGAUCCCUAGCUGGUCUGAGAGGAUGACCAGCCACACGGGAGCGGAGACACGGUCCAGACUCCUACGUGAGGCAGCAGUGGGGAAUAUUGCACAAUGGGCGGAAGCCUGAUGCAGCCAUGCCGCGUAUGUGAAGAAGGCCUUCGGGUUGUAAAGCACUUUCAGCGAGGAGGCGUUACUCGAAGAAGAAGCACCGGCUAACUCCGUGCCAGCAGCCGCGGUAAUUC